rnacentral:rRNA from 1 species
UGCAAGUCGAACGAUGAUCCCAGCUUGCUGGGGGAUUAGUGGCGAACGGGUGAGUAACACGUGAGUAACCUGCUCUUGACUCUGGGAUAAGCCUGGGAAACUGGGUCUAAUACCGGAUACGACCAUCUGGCGCAUGUCAUGGUGGUGGAAAGCUUUUGUGGUUUUGGAUGGACUCGCGGCCUAUCAGCUUGUUGGUGGGGUAAUGGCCUACCAAGGCGACGACGGGUAGCCGGCCUGAGAGGGUGACCGGCCACACUGGGACUGAGACACGGCCCAGACUCCUACGGGAGGCAGCAGUGGGGAAUAUUGCACAAUGGGCGCAAGCCUGAUGCAGCGACGCCGCGUGAGGGAUGACGGCCUUCGGGUUGUAAACCUCUUUCAGUAGGGAAGAAGCGUAAGUGACGGUACCUGCAGAAGAAGCGCCGGCUAACUACGUGCCAGCAGCCGCGGUAAUACGUAGGGCGCAAGCGUUAUCCGGAAUUACUGGGCGUAAAGCGCGCGUAGGCGGACCAGAAAGUUGGGGGUGAAAUCCCGGGGCUCAACCCCGGAACGGCCUCCAAAACUCCUGGUCUUGAGUUCGAGAGAGGUGAGUGGAAUUCCGAGUGUAGAGGUGAAAUUCGUAGAUAUUCGGAGGAACACCAGUGGCGAAGGCGGCUCACUGGCUCGAUACUGACGCUGAGGUGCGAAAGUGUGGGGAGCAAACAGGAUUAGAUACCCUGGUAGAAGGGC